ACCAAGGCUUCGACGGGUAGCUGGUCUGAGAGGACGAUCAGCCACACUGGGACUGAGACACGGCCCAGACUCCUACGGGAGGCAGCAGUGGGGAAUCUUGCGCAAUGGGCGAAAGCCUGACGCAGCAACGCCGCGUGGGGGAUGAAGGCUCUCGGGUUGUAAACCCCUUUCAGCAGGGACGAAUUUGACGGUACCUGCAGAAGAAGCCCCGGCCAACUACGUGCCAGCAGCCGCGGUAACACGUAGGGGGCGAGCGUUGUCCGGAUUUAUUGGGCGUAAAGAGCUCGUAGGCGGCUCAGUAAGUCGGGUGUGAAACCUCCAGGCUCAACCUGGAGACGCCACCUGAUACUGCUGUGGCUAGAGUCCGGUAGGGGAGCGUGGAAUUCCUGGUGUAGCGGUGAAAUGCGCAGAUAUCAGGAGGAACACCAGCGGCGAAGGCGGCGCUCUGGGCCGGAACUGACGCUGAGGAGCGAAAGCGUGGGUAGCAAACAGGAUUAGAUACCCUGGUAGUCCACGCCGUAAACGUUGGGC
rnacentral:rRNA from 1 species